UACGUAGGCAGCAAGCGUUGUUCGGAGUUACUGGGCGUAAAGGGUGUGUAGGCGGUUGUUUAAGUUUGGUGUGAAAUCUCCCGGCUCAACUGGGAGGGUGCGCCGAAUACUGAAUGACUUGGAGUGCGGGAGAGGAAAGUGGAAUUCCUGGUGUAGCGGUGAAAUGCGUAGAUAUCGUAAGGAACGCCAGUGGCGAAAGCGAAUCUCUGGGCAGCAACUGACGCUGAGGCACGAAGGCCAGGGGAGCAAACGGG
rnacentral:rRNA from 1 species